UACGUAGGGUGCGAGCGUUAAUCGGAAUUAUUGGGCGUAAAGGGCGCGUAGGCGGUCAGCACAAGUCAGUUGUGAAAUCUCCGGGCUUAACUCGGAAAGGUCAACUGAUACUGUGCGACUAGAGUGCAGAAGGGGCAACUGGAAUUCUCGGUGUAGCGGUGAAAUGCGUAGAUAUCGAGAGGAACACCUGCGGCGAAGGCGGGUUGCUGGGCUGACACUGACGCUGAGGCGCGAAAGCCAGGGGAGCGAACGGG
rnacentral:rRNA from 1 species